AUUGAGGAAGCCCAUUAGUGCUUGUUUGUUCAAGUUCUGGCACACCAUCCCAUUGCUCAUCACUGAUGAUCCUGGUUUUGUCUCUUUGCCCCUUCCAAGCUAGUUUAAAGCUCUAUCAAGAAGUCCUGCUAGCUCCUGUGGUAGAACUCUUUCUCCUAUGGAUUCAUGGAAAGUAUUGUACAGUAAUAAUAACUGAUCUGCAAGUCGCCUGAAAAUAUGUGAAUUCCUGCAGCAAUCAUUACAAGAAGAAAUUAU